rnacentral:rRNA from 1 species
UACGGGGGAGGCAAGCGUUGUUCGGAAUUACUGGGCGUAAAGGGCUCGUAGGCGGCCAACUAAGUCGGACGUGAAAUCCCCGGGCUCAACCUGGGAACUGCAUUUGUGACUGCAUGGCUAGAGUACGGUAGAGGGGGAUGGAAUUCCGCGUGUAGCAGUGAAAUGCGUAGAUAUGCGGAGGAACACCGAUGGCGAAGGCAAUCCCCUGGACCUGUACUGACGCUCAUGCACGAAAGCGUGGGGAGCAAACAGG